AAAAUAACUAAUGUAUUUUAUCUUGUAGGCUGGUAAUAACUAUAUGCUGAGAGAAUUUGUUAGUAAAGAAGACAAAGUUAGAGAUAUCAAGGUGUCACCCCAUAGUCAAACGGACCCAAAUGAGAUAGCCAAUCACCUUACACAAAGGAAGGAACUAUGUGAAAAGUUAGUGUUUCCUGAGACUUCUAGUAAUGAUAAAAGCUAGCAGUGUUUUAGCUUACUAAUUCUGUGUGUAAGUGUAAAAUUCAAGGAGGUUAAGAUUAAAGAUACAAUCUAUCAGAGA